rnacentral:rRNA from 1 species
AACGAACGCUGGCGGCAGGCCUAACACAUGCAAGUCGAGCGAGGACUUCGGUUCUAGCGGCGGACGGGCGAGUAACGCGUGGGAAUGUGCCCUUCUCUACGGAAUAGCCCUGGGAAACUGGGAGUAAUACCGUAUACGCCCUAUUGGGGAAAGAUUUAUCGGAGAAGGAUCAGCCCGCGUUGGAUUAGGUAGUUGGUGGGGUAAUGGCCUACCAAGCCGACGAUCCAUAGCUGGUUUGAGAGGAUGAUCAGCCACACUGGGACUGAGACACGGCCCAGACUCCUACGGGAGGCAGCAGUGGGGAAUCUUAGACAAUGGGGGCAACCCUGAUCGAGCCAUGCCGCGUGAGUGAUGAAGGCCUUAGGGUUGUAAAGCUCUUUCAGCUGGGAAGAUAAUGACGGUACCAGCAGAAGAAGCCCCGGCUAACUCCGUG